rnacentral:rRNA from 1 species
UUCCGGUUGAUCCUGCCAGCGGUCACCGCUCUUGGAAUCCGACUAAGCCAUGCGAGUCGAGAGGGUUCGGCCCUCGGCGCACCGCUCAGUAACACGUGGAUAACCUACCCUGGAGUGGGGGAUAAUCUCGGAAACCUGAGGAUAAUACCCCAUAGGCCUUUGGUACUGGAAUGUUCUUAGGCCCAAAGUUACGGCGCUCCAGGAUGGGUCUGCGGCCUAUCAGGUAGUAGUGAGUGUAAAGGACUCACUAGCCGACAACGGGUACGGGCCAUGGGAGUGGUAGCCCGGAGAUGGAUUCUGAGACACGAAUCCAGGCCCUACGGGGCGCAGCAGGCGCGAAAACUUCGCAAUGCGCGAAAGCGCGACGAGGGGAUUCCAAGUGCAUGCACUUAGUGCAUGCUGUUUGCUAGUCUAAAUAGCUAGUAGAGUAAGGGCUGGGUAAGACUGGUGCCAGCCGCCGCGGUAAUACCAGCGGCCCGAGUGGUGAUCGUUAUUAUUGGGUCUAAAGCGUCCGUAGCCGGCCCGGUAAAUCUCUGGGUAAAUCGUUGGGCUCAACCCAGCGAAUUCUAGGGAGACUGCCGGGCUUGGGACCGGGAGAGGUCGGAGGUCCUCCCAGGGUAGGGGUGAAA